rnacentral:lncRNA from 1 species
CUUGUGCACAUUAUUUAAAAAUCAGUUCAUGCUGGGCAUGGUGGCUCAUGCAUGUAAUCUCAGCACUUUGGGAGAGAAGGUUGCAGUGAACUGAGAUCGCGCCACUACACACCAGCCUGGGCGACAGAGCGAGACUCUGUCUCAAAAAAUAAAAUAAAAUGAAAUAAAAUAAAAUAAAAUAAAAUAAUAAAUAAAUAAAUAAAAUAAAUCAUCAGUUCAUGUGGCCAUGUUCCCUCUCCCUUUCCUUCACAUAUUAUUUCCAAUUGUUCAGUAGAGAUACUGCCUAUUAUCACCUUGUAACCACUUUCCCUUCAAGAGACUAUCUCUGGCAUCUUACCUACCUUUUCUUCGAAUUUUAGGAACUCUGUACUCCAAUUCUCUAUAUUCCGGCUUUGUUCCAUAUUCCUCUUCCUGCUUAUUAGUCUGCCAGCUAUCAUUUACAAAACAACCACUUUGUAUCAGACACUAAGAACAUAAAGUAAUUCCAGUCUCUGCCCUCAAGAAGAUUACAUUACGGUGGC